UCCUCCAAAUAUCUAUUUCUAACAUAGCCCUAGCACCCUUUUCUUCCUUCAACGUCACCCCCACCCACCCACCCACCCCAAAACCCUAAAAAAUCCCCCUUUUUUUUUGUCCUGAGAAAAUUAUAUGGUACUGCAAAAUGUAAAUUUAGGGUAAUGAGUAUAGAGGAAGUGGGCAAAAAAGGGUGAUAAUUGUUGACAGAAGAUAGAGAGCACUGAUGAUGAUAUGCUAAUUAAAUUUGUGCAGCAAAAGCAUCUCAAUUCAUUUGUGCUCUCUAUGCUUCUGUCAUCACCUUCAGCCAACUAUCCCUCUCUUCUCUUAACUUCAUCUAAUUUUCCUCUUUUCAUUCGUCUGUUUUCUUGAAAUUUAUUUCACAUUUUGUAUAUGUAGUUAAUGUUGGUUCUUCAAGAAACAGCUUCUCUUACCCUCGGCAGAGGCAAAGUCUGCCCCUCCUCAGACUUCUCUUGUGAAAUUAUAGUGGGUUGUUAUUAUAUAUGUAUUUUAUGUAUAUAGUCAAAUUCUAGAUGUUUCUCAUCCCAUGACAUAUUUCUUUUAUCUGCUAGUAUAUAGGUUCUCAUUUUCCGGGGAUUUCUCUAAGAUGAAAGCAAAAAUUCUAUAAAAUGAAAGAUUUUGAAAUCUAUUUGCAUGAUUAAUUUACAUAAUUGGAGAUUCCUUUUGCGGCUGUCUCUUGCUUUGCAAACUUGUUAGAAGCAAAAUCUGAAAGUGAAAGUUAUUUCUCAUGAUUUACCAUAAUUCGAUUGUUUAUAUAUUUUUCUCUUUAUGUUUCACCAGAUUAUUGACUUUCUAACUGUUUGAUUAAUUCUUGAGUUCUAUACUUACUCUAUCUUGUGAGUUCACCUAUGCUUUUGCAGCUAUUGCUAGAUCCAAAGCUCCUCGCUUUGACAAGCACUCAAAGGACAUUUCUGAGGAAUGAGAUGUUAAUUAAGCUACCUUUACAUGUAAACCCUCUACUCUUUCUCUCAAUUUUGUAAUAAUUCAAGUUACAAUAUAUAUAUAUGUGUGUGUGUNNNNNNNNNNNNNNNNNNNNNNNNNUAUAGAGUAAUUAUAUGGUGGAACGAUUUCUAUGGCUCAUUGUGUGUUUGUAUUUUCUAACACUUGUUCCAGAGGUAUUCAGAGUGGCGGGUUAAGGAUCUUACUGGUUAUAUUUACGUAUAACUCACUCCUUACCUGCAUGUCUAUGCAAAUACUAUUGGUGAAGACAGAGCUAGUAGCUAACGAGUUCGCUAGAGUUAAUUUAGUUAUUGAGGUUAGCCGCCGCAUUAUUCGUGGAGGCUGCCAAAAGAGUCUUUAUUAUUUAUUCAUAUGAUAUCUUUUGUAAUUCUCUUAGAUGCUCCAUGGUUUAGUGUACGAUUUGGACUAGAGUUUCAGUGUAAUAUUUUGAGAUAUUAAUUGUUCAUAAUUAAUUAUCAGAUUAUUUGGAUACUCAUUUAAUUAAUCAAAUGCUACAAAUUAAUGGCUAAGAUAUAAAAGUAUGCUUCGCCUGACGGGUGGUGUUAGCUGGGUGCCAGUCACGUCUAGGGGUAGUUUCGGACGUGACAAAUUUCAAACAAAGCUGUGACUUAUAGAGUGGUUUAUUUAGCAAAAUAGAUGGGAAAAAGCUAACUGUUUGAACUUCCUUACCACUCAUAUAAUUGGAGCUAACACAGAAGCUGGUUUGAGUUCUUUACUAAUAUAAUUGGGAGCUAAAAUAGAAGCUGGUUGGAGUUCUUUUACUAAUAUAAUUGGAGCUGAAACAGAAGCUAGUUUGACAGAAAGCUUAUAUAAUAAAUGUUUAAUUCUUGGGCAAAAUAGAAGCUGGUUCUAGUUCUUUACCACACACGAAGGUGUCCCGUGAAGCUUAACUAGUUAUACUCUUGGGCAUAGUUUAUAUACAAAUUCCAUCCUUAAACCUGUGUUUUACUUUAGUUACUAUUGUUGCUUUUCAUUUUGUUGAGCCGAGAGUCUAAUGGAAACAAUCUCUUUAUCUGUGCAAGAUAGGGUAAGGUCUGUGUGCACUCUACACCUCUCCAAGUCUCUUUUUUCAUUUUAUUGGGAUAAAAGAUAGGUUAGUUGUUUUAUUUCUCAUCAUUCUAAUCAACACUAAGGGGUCGUUUGGUAGGAUACAUUAGGUAAAAUAAUGCAUGCAUUAACUUUGUGUAUUAAUAAUGCUUUGUUUGGUAAACUUUUUGAACUUAUGCAUUAGUUAUGCAAGCAUUAGUUAUACACCUUAUUUGGUAUUAUUCUAUGCAUAACUAAUGCAUAAGAAACUAUGGUAUUAACAAUGCAAUGGGUUUUAAUGCAUGCAUUAACUUAGUUAAAGACAAAAAUGUCCUUCAAAAUUUAUACUUGAUUAAAAUAUGCUAUUAUAUAAUGCAAUUUUGAAAUAAUCCAAGAAAGUGAGAAAUAAAAUUAUAUCCCUAGUAAAUAAAUAAAUACUUAGCAUAUUCUAUUUUAUAAAUAAAUAUUAAAGUUCUAUACUACAAUAUAGCUAGACAAAUCAAAUAAUUUGUUUAAACCCUUUUCAUACACUAACAUUCCUCAACAUAUGUUUCUUUAAAAAAGAUGUGGUGUGGACUGGUUAUGAGGGUAUUUUUGUAAACAAAUAAUUCUUUUAGAAAUUGUGCAAUGCUUUAGUAN
rnacentral:lncRNA from 1 species